GACGAACGCUGGCGGCGUGCUUAACACAUGCAAGUCGAACGCUGAAGCUCAGCUUUUGUUGGGUGGAUGAGUGGCGAACGGGUGAGUAACACGUGAGUAACCUGCCUCCUUCUUUGGGAUAACGCCCGGAAACGGGUGCUAAUACUGGAUAUUCACUGGUCUUCGCAUGGGGGUUGGUGGAAAGGGUUUUUCUGGUGGGGGAUGGGCUCGCGGCCUAUCAGCUUGUUGGUGGGGUGAUGGCCUACCAAGGCUUUGACGGGUAGCCGGCCUGAGAGGGUGACCGGUCACAUUGGGACUGAGAUACGGCCCAGACUCCUACGGGAGGCAGCAGUGGGGAAUAUUGCACAAUGGGCGCAAGCCUGAUGCAGCGACGCCGCGUGAGGGAUGGAGGCCUUCGGGUUGUGAACUUCUUUCGCUCAUGGUCAAGCCGCAACAAUGGUUGUGGUGAGGGUAGUGGGUAAAGAAGCGCCGGCUAACUACGUG
rnacentral:rRNA from 1 species